AAAGAUCUUUCAACCGUAAUGAGGACAAAGAGUUGGAGAGGGAUCGUCGCAGACACCAGACGUGGCAUUUGUGAUGUGGCACGUACUUCUCUGGUCACCAGCCUGCAGAAAGCUCGUUGAGAGAAUUUGUUGCCACAUACAAUGCAUCCGGCCAUCAUCGACUCAGAUCCUCUUAGCCUUCACGGGCACUGCUCGCUGCCAUCUUCAGCACUUCUAACACAGCAUGUUCCACCAAGUCUUCGACAGCUCGAUUUGGCCAUGCUGCUGCUUACACCUUCCCCUGUUGGGACGUCGUUCGCUCAGUUACUGACUGCGGCCGUUGCCCCAAAGCCAACUGCUUCAGGAUAAUAAUUAUGAAGUUAAGUAAUAUAUUUGACGUCUUACUCCAUCUCAUUCAAAGGACCUCAAAAUU